GAGGAAUAUUGGUCAAUGGACGAGAGUCUGAACCAGCCAAGUCGCGUGCAGGAAGAAUGUCCUAUGGAUUGUAAACUGCUUUUGUAUGGGAAUAAAGUGAGGUACGUGUACCUUAUUGUAUGUACCAUUCGAAUAAGGAUCGGCUAACUCCGUGCCAGCAGCCGCGGUAAUACGGAGGAUCCAAGCGUUAUCCGGAUUUAUUGGGUUUAAAGGGUGCGUAGGCGGGCCUUUAAGUCAGUGGUGAAAGUUUGCAGCUCAACUGUAAAAUUGCCGUUGAAACUGAAGGUCUUGAGUGUAAAUAAGGUAGGCGGAAUGUGUUGUGUAGCGGUGAAAUGCAUAGAUAUAACACAGAACCCCAAUUGCGAAGGCAGCUUACUGGGAUACAACUGACGCUGAGGCACGAAAGCGUGGGGAUCAAAC
rnacentral:rRNA from 1 species